GAAGCUAAUACCGGAUAAUAAAGAGAAACUCCUGUUUCUUUUUUGAAAGUCGGUUUCGGCUGACGCUUACAGAUGGGCCCGCGGCGCAUUAGCUAGUUGGUGAGGUAACGGCUCACCAAGGCCACGAUGCGUAGCCGACCUGAGAGGGUGAUCGGCCACACUGGGACUGAGACACGGCCCAGACUCCUACGGGAGGCAGCAGUAGGGAAUCUUCGGCAAUGGACGAAAGUCUGACCGAGCAACGCCGCGUGAGCGAUGAAGGCCUUCGGGUCGUAAAGCUCUGUUGUCAGAGAAGAACAAGACCGGAGUAACUGCCGGUACCUUGACGGUACCUGACCAGAAAGCCACGGCUAACUACGUGCCAGCAGCCGCGGUAAUACGUAGGUGGCAAGCGUUAUCCGGAAUUAUUGGGCGUAAAGCGCGCGCAGGCGGUUCCUUAAGUCUGAUGUGAAAGCCCACGGCUCAACCGUGGAGGGUCAUUGGAAACUGGGGAACUUGAGUGCAGGAGAGAAAAGUGGAAUUCCACGUGUAGCGGUGAAAUGCGUAGAGAUGUGGAGGAACACCAGUGGCGAAGGCGGCUUUUUGGCCUGUAACUGACGCUGAGGCGCGAAAGCGUGGGGAGCAAACAGGAUUAGAUACCCUGGUAGUCCACGCCGUAAACGAUGAGUGCUAGGUGUUGGGGGGUUCCACCCUCAGUGCUGACGUUAACACAUUAAGCACUCCGCCUGGGGAGUACGGCCGCAAGGCUGAAACUCAAAGGAAUUGACGGGGGCCCGCACAAGCAGUGGAGCAUGUGGUUUAAUUCGAAGCAACGCGAAGAACCUUACCAGGUCUUGACAUCCUCUGACCACUCUAGAGAUAGAGCUUUCCCCUUCGGGGGACAGAGUGACAGGUGGUGCAUGGUUGUCGUCAGCUCGUGUCGUGAGAUGUUGGGUUAAGUCCCGCAACGAGCGCAACCCUUGAUCUUAGUUGCCAGCAUUCAGUUGGGCACUCUAAGGUGACUGCCGGUGACAAACCGGAGGAAGGUGGGGAUGACGUCAAAUCAUCAUGCCCCUUAUGACCUGGGCUACACACGUGCUACAAUGGGUGGUACAAAGGGUUGCAAAGCCGCGAGGCCGAGCCAAUCCCAAAAAGCCACUCUCAGUUCGGAUUGUAGGCUGCAACUCGCCUACAUGAAGCCGGAAUUGCUAGUAAUCGCGGAUCAGCAUGCCGCGGGAAUACGUUCCCGGGCCUU
rnacentral:rRNA from 1 species